UUAAGCGACUAAGCGUACACGGUGGAUGCCCUGGCAGUCAGAGGCGAUGAAGGACGUGCUAAUCUGCGAAAAGCGUCGGUAAGGUGAUAUGAACCGUUACAGCCGGCGAUGUCCGAAUGGGGAAACCCAGUGCAAUUCGUUGCACUAUCGUUAACUGAAUACAUAGGUUAACGAGGCGAACCGGGGGAACUGAAACAUCUAAGUACCCCGAGGAAAAGAAAUCAACCGAGAUUCCCCCAGUAGCGGCGAGCGAACGGGGAGCAGCCCAGAGUCUGAAUCAGCUUGUGUGUUAGUGGAACGGUCUGGAAAGUCCGACGGUACAGGGUGAUAGUCCCGUACACCAAAAUGCACAGGCUGUGAACUCGAAGAGUAGGGCGGGACACGUGGUAUCCUGUCUGAAUAUGGGGGGACCAUCCUCCAAGGCUAAAUACUCCUGACUGACCGAUAGUGAACCAGUACCGUGAGGGAAAGGCGAAAAGAACCCCGGCGAGGGGAGUGAAAAAGAACCUGAAACCGUGUACGUACAAGCAGUGGGAGCACCUUCGGGUGUGACUGCGUACCUUUUGUAUAAUGGGUCAGCGACUUAUAUUCUGUAGCAAGGUUAACCGUAUAGGGGAGCCGCAGGGAAACCGAGUCUUAACUGGGCGUUAAGUUGCAGGGUAUAGACCCGAAACCCGGUGAUCUAGCCAUGGGCAGGUUGAAGGUUGGGUAACACUAACUGGAGGACCGAACCGACUAAUGUUGAAAAAUUAGCGGAUGACUUGUGGCUGGGGGUGAAAGGCCAAUCAAACCGGGAGAUAGCUGGUUCUCCCCGAAAGCUAUUUAGGUAGCGCCUCGUGAACUCAUCUUCGGGGGUAGAGCACUGUUUCGGCUAGGGGGUCAUCCCGACUUACCAACCCGAUGCAAACUACGAAUACCGAAGAAUGUUAUCACGGGAGACACACGGCGGGUGCUAACGUCCGUCGUGAAGAGGGAAACAACCCAGACCGCCAGCUAAGGUCCCAAAGUCAUGGUUAAGUGGGAAACGAUGUGGGAAGGCACAGACAGCCAGGAUGUUGGCUUAGAAGCAGCCAUCAUUUAAAGAAAGCGUAAUAGCUCACUGGUCGAGUCGGCCUGCGCGGAAGAUGUAACGGGGCUAAACCAUGCACCGAAGCUGCGGCAGCGACACUAUGUGUUGUUGGGUAGGGGAGCGUUCUGUAAGCCUGCGAAGGUGUGCUGUGAGGCAUGCUGGAGGUAUCAGAAGUGCGAAUGCUGACAUAAGUAACGAUAAAGCGGGUGAAAAGCCCGCUCGCCGGAAGACCAAGGGUUCCUGUCCAACGUUAAUCGGGGCAGGGUGAGUCGACCCCUAAGGCGAGGCCGAAAGGCGUAGUCGAUGGGAAACAGGUUAAUAUUCCUGUACUUGGUGUUACUGCGAAGGGGGGACGGAGAAGGCUAUGUUAGCCGGGCGACGGUUGUCCCGGUUUAAGCAUGUAGGCUGAUUGUCCAGGCAAAUCCGGAUAAUCAAGGCUGAGGUGUGAUGACGAGGCACUACGGUGCUGAAGUAACAAAUGCCCUGCUUCCAGGAAAAGCCUCUAAGCAUCAGGUAACAUUAAAUCGUACCCCAAACCGACACAGGUGGUCAGGUAGAGAAUACCAAGGCGCUUGAGAGAACUCGGGUGAAGGAACUAGGCAAAAUGGUGCCGUAACUUCGGGAGAAGGCACGCUGGUGUGUAGGUGAAGUCCCUGCGGAUGGAGCUGAGACCAGUCGAAGAUACCAGCUGGCUGCAACUGUUUAUUAAAAACACAGCACUGUGCAAACACGAAAGUGGACGUAUACGGUGUGACGCCUGCCCGGUGCCGGAAGGUUAAUUGAUGGGGUUAUCCGUAAGGAGAAGCUCUUGAUCGAAGCCCCGGUAAACGGCGGCCGUAACUAUAACGGUCCUAAGGUAGCGAAAUUCCUUGUCGGGUAAGUUCCGACCUGCACGAAUGGCGUAAUGAUGGCCAGGCUGUCUCCACCCGAGACUCAGUGAAAUUGAACUCGCUGUGAAGAUGCAGUGUACCCGCGGCAAGACGGAAAGACCCCGUGAACCUUUACUAUAGCUUGACACUGAACAUUGAGCCUUGAUGUGUAGGAUAGGUGGGAGGCUUUGAAGCGUGGACGCCAGUCUGCGUGGAGCCAACCUUGAAAUACCACCCUUUAAUGUUUGAUGUUCUAACGUUGGCCCCUGACCGGGGUUGCGGACAGUGUCUGGUGGGUAGUUUGACUGGGGCGGUCUCCUCCCAAAGCGUAACGGAGGAGCACGAAGGUUAGCUAAUCCUGGUCGGACAUCAGGAGGUUAGUGCAAUGGCAUAAGCUAGCUUGACUGCGAGCGUGACGGCGCGAGCAGGUGCGAAAGCAGGUCAUAGUGAUCCGGUGGUUCUGAAUGGAAGGGCCAUCGCUCAACGGAUAAAAGGUACUCCGGGGAUAACAGGCUGAUACCGCCCAAGAGUUCAUAUCGACGGCGGUGUUUGGCACCUCGAUGUCGGCUCAUCACAUCCUGGGGCUGAAGUAGGUCCCAAGGGUAUGGCUGUUCGCCAUUUAAAGUGGUACGCGAGCUGGGUUUAGAACGUCGUGAGACAGUUCGGUCCCUAUCUGCCGUGGGCGCUGGAGAAUUGAGGGGGGCUGCUCCUAGUACGAGAGGACCGGAGUGGACGCAUCACUGGUGUUCGGGUUGUCAUGCCAAUGGCACUGCCCGGUAGCUAAAUGCGGAAGAGAUAAGUGCUGAAAGCAUCUAAGCACGAAACUUGCCCCGAGAUGAGUUCUCCCUGAGACU
rnacentral:rRNA from 1 species